GACUUUAGCAUCUAGAAAUUUCUAUUGAUUGGGCCACCCUGUCUGUGGUAUUUUGUUAUGGAAGCUAGAACAGAAUAAUGCAAGAGGCCCACCCUCUCCUCUGGAAGCACCGGAACCCUCUUCACAACUCAUUUCUCUCAUGUGGAGUCAUUGGUCCAACAGGAAAACAGGCUUGCAGAGGACUGCUGACUCACACCAGGGAAGGGAGAACACUACCAAGUACCCUCCAUGUCGUUUGAGACACGAUUUGGGGAACUUUUAGGAGAACAUCUUAGUUACUCCUUAAGAGAAUGCAAAAUCG